UGGGUACUUAUACAGGAUCAAGGAACCCAAACAACACCUUCUGGCUAGCCAUUUUGGGUGAGGUCCUGGGUUGUUACACAUAUAUUAUAAAUCUGCUAGAAUAUCAACCUCACAAGAUGCAGGAGAUAUGAUUUUUUCCUCUUUUUUAAUUAUUCUUGAAAUUCAAUAUGGUAAUGUAACAUAUUAUAACAAAGGCUUUGGUAGCUAAAUUUUUUUACACACUAACUACUGAACUUUAAUGAUAGUUGAGCAAAAACUUCUAUCAAAUAUCUAAACGAAUAUAGUAAUAUUGGUUUAGAUAAGUAAAUACUUAUCUCUUUUAGUAAAUACAAUCUAAACUAAUGUUCUCAAGUAUCAGUUAUAUUUAUAUUAAUUACAAAAGUAUAACUAGUACUUGAUAAUUGAUACUGAAUAUUGGUAAUAGUAGGUAUUAUAUUAUCUAUAUCUUAUACUCACUUAUCAUCAAAAGAGCAGAUAACAUAAUCCUUACUUAUGAUAGAUAUCUGUUAAUAAAACAUCAUUGUAGGCCUAUCUUCCUCUUGUAUCGACUAUAAGAGUAAAUAACAACCAUUAUCAUCAAGAUUAGGGGGUUUUAUUUUGCAUAUAUAUAACAAACUAUCCAAAAUUAAAAACUAUAUUAAAAUAAGAGUCCUACUUAUUAUUCAAAAUAAAAGACUAUAUUAAUAGUAUUAAUAAUAUGAGUAUCAAAGUAGCAAAUUAAAAGUUCAGACCAAGUUGAGCCUCUAUUUUAGUUAUAUAUAAUAUAAAAGGUUCUCGAGGUUGACUUAUGUGAAUGAAUUUGCACAAACUUUAAAGUUUUGAUUUAAUAGUAGAACAAGUAAGUUCUUCGUGCCUUACACAGGUUAAUCCAUAAGAUUUCUAAAAAUUUUAGGUUGAAUGAAACCUUUUAUGUUAGACAAAUAUUAAUCUAUAAACAAUGGAAUGCAUGCAAAUCUUAAUACUAUAAUAAAUAAUAUUAAAUUAUUUUGGCUUAAUAAAUGAUGAAUGUAGAAAAAAUAUAAAGUAAAAUGGCAUAUUAAGUAUUGUCCCAUGUAGUAUAAAAGGCAUGACAACUACAAAUUUGCCAAAAUUCUACCUUGUGUGCAACUACUAAUAUGAAUGCAAAAGAUUGCCGGUUAUCAAAAUAAUUAUUGUCCUCUUGCAGAGAGCCUUAGAAAGAGGGUUAUACUAAAUGAUGUAAUAAAUAUCUUUUAGUUAGUAUAAGUGUGAAAAAAAUGUUUCAAUAAUGUAUAAAGCAAAAUAAUGUAAACUAAUAGCAUUUGGAAAUAAUAAAAGUCUAAGUUUUAUUUUAAACAUCAAAAUGUUACAAAUAUGUUGGAAUGGAAUUAUUUUGUACUCUUUGUUUUCCUCUUCACAAUUAUUGCCACUGCUAGGAUCCUCUUCGGUGCUUGUCUUGCAAUAUAAUCUAAUGAUAUCCUAUAUGAAUGCCAUAUUGGUGAUCUUUAAGAUCUAAUGGCCCUUUAUUCUCUCUUUUAUUGGAGCUAAAGAGGCUAACUGAACCAAUACAUGUCCUUUACUUGAGGAUCUUUUCUACCUCAUCUAUAUCCAUUAGAUAAUGUUUGAGGUCAUAGAACUAUUUAAUCCCAUUAGCCUUAGAUCCAUGGUCAAUCACUAGAUUGGACGUAAGUGCCAAUUAAUUGAUCAAUAUCAUAGAUGGAGCCAAAUACUCCAUUAUAAUGGAUCAGUAUCAUAUAUAGAGCCUAGUAAAUCACUUUUAUGGCUUGCAAAGCCAAUUCUUCUCAUCCAAUAGUCUAAUUACAUAAUCAAACCAACUCCACGGUCUUUCGGCGGUGAAAUUAGUGAGUCAGAAUCUAUGCCAGCAAUCAAAAAUCCUAUCAAAAUUGUGCAUGAUUUUCAAAAUAAGUUGAAAAAACUAAGAAAUAUAGAAUCACACCCAUAGGGUAGAUUAGUUAUCCCAACCAUAGGGUACUAGGUGUACAAUCAAUCAACACUUAAUUUAUCUCACCUAUCAUAUAAAAUGUGACCCUAACACCUAAGAUUAUAAAUCACUUAUGAGAAUAGAGUUAUGACAUACUCCUAAGAUAGUAAGAUAUAAUCCCUCCAUGUAAUAGCGCAUUGAUUUGCAAUUUCAUCCUUCUACCAUAACCAACAACUUUUAUUAGUCCUCAGGAAAAUAAAUUGAAUAUCUGACCCAUAACAGUUAAGCUUCUAUUGAAAUUAUGAAUCAACAAAACACUAGAGAAACUAUUUUUCCAAACUAUUUGCGAACACCAUAAUAUAUUUUGUAUAUUUAUUUUAUAUACAAAAUAAGAUAUCGUCAACAUGUUUAUAACAAACCAUUGUGCAUUUUUUUUCUCACCUAGUGGAUGCCUUAUAGGGUGUCUCACAUGAUCUCAAUACAAAUUUUAUACACCCAAUUAACCACUGUACACAAACUUGUAUCUUGGUUCAAGUAGUUUGGCUAUCAAAGUGACUCGAUUCAUGCUAGUUCAUGGACUCCUUAGGUUAAGAUAUAUGCAAGGACUAUUGCAUGAUGAGAAUAUCGUUACUCUAUGCCCAUAGACCGGCCAGCCUAGACCAAUGAAGCUCGGCCCUUUUUUUUUUUUUUUUUGGUAACAGAGAGUGAGAGAACACAACAUUUGAAUAAAGGAUAUGCCCCUAGCAUCCGCUCUAAUAAGAUAAGAAAGAUUGGGAGGAAAACUUUCAAUUCAAAGUUUUCUUUUUUUUGGCUAUCUAAUGAGGCCCGGCACUUUGGCUCGGCCUAGAGACGGAGCAAGUCCUAAAAUGGUCUAGUCCCAAAAAAAUAUAAAUGGUGCAAAGCUCCUAUUUCAGGAGGAGGAGGAGGAGUCCUCAAACUUAAAAAUGGAGGCUAGAAAACCCUAGCCUCCAUCAAGGUCGGCCUAACUCUUAGGCGACUGAGGCGGUCGCCUAAGGCUCCGGCUCAAGAGAAGGUCUCAAAGACAAAAUGACCUUAGGCCCCUAAAUGUCAUACCUGGGCCCAAAAAUUUAUUGGGCCCAUAUUUGAGCAUUGGGCCAUGACAUUUAAUGGGCUAACUGGGCCCAUGGUUGACAACCCAGUGUUCGCUGCCACCUCAUGCUUUAUGCAUGGGUGUGACUAGGGCCAGCUGGGGAUCAGAGGAGGACCCAGCUGUUCAAGCCCCUCAUAGGUGUGAUACCUCAUUUUCCCUUCCCCGCUCUUCUUAAGAAUAUCUAUUAAACCUAUUGGUUCUCCCUUGAAAAAAAGAUAAAUCUCAGGAACCUGUGAACCAGGAGAGGAGGUGUUGGAGUGGAGGCACCGGAGCACGGGAUACUGCAAUCUCCUUCGGAAUCAAGAUCCUCAUCACUGAUAGCUGUCAGAGACACUUUAGUUUGGUAUCAGGGCUUAUUUCCUUUGGGGUAAAAUAAAUAUGCUUUUGUGUACAUAAACUACAUAGAAGCUCUGUAUUUGGGUACUGACCAGCAUGUUGUACUAAGAAUAUUUUUAUAUAUAAAGGUUUGGUUGGUUU